rnacentral:lncRNA from 1 species
CAUGCCUUCUGCAGUGUUCUAUGAGUCAUAUGGUUCAUCCUGAUUUAGGCUGUAAGCAGAUUGCAUCAUGGCGCGGAUACCAGGAGGUGGGGAUCAUGGGGGUCCAUCCUAGAGGCUGACCCAAGCAGAGGAAAGGAGAUAAUUACUGGAACAAUGUCUCCCCAUAGGCAUGAGUAUAUGGAAUUUAGUGCAAAAGGAGAGGAAAUAGCCUUUGUUAGGGACACAGAGGGAUCUUUGAUAGUAAUAGUAUAUAGGUGCAGUUAGAGGAGGUAGGAAGAUCUUGUGAGGAACAUCUGAGGCUGCGCAAUCUCUAAGGAAAAGAGGUUUAUUUGGCUCACUGCUCUGUGGGCUGUACAAGAAGCAUGGCACCAGCAUCUGCUCCUGGUGAGAGGCUCAGGCUGCUUCCACUCAUGGCAGAAGCUUGCUCUGGCUAACAACCACUAUCAUCAAAGUUGUCUGAGGAAGACCUCCUGUUGCUGUGACUGACGGGACUCUUGGUGGAAGCCCUAUUCCCAUGUGCCCAUGGCUGCAGCUCCCCAAGGAAGCAGGACAUUGUUGGAUUCUCUAAGAAGCUCAGAGGAAGUUACUUCUCACUGUGGUGCCAUAUGGGAUUUGAAGUCGUUCUACUCAUGCUCUGUUUUUCAAUAAAGCUGCUUCUGCCUCU